rfam:Eubacterium cellulosolvens 6 chromosome, whole genome shotgun sequence.
GCGGAAGUGUCGGAAUUGGUAGACGAGCAAGACUAAGGAUCUUGUGGCAGCAAUGUCGUGCGGGUUCAAGUCCCGCCUUCCGCA